rnacentral:misc_RNA from 1 species
GAUGAAGAACGUAGCGAACUGCGAUAAGUAAUGUGAAUUGCAGAAUUCAGUGAAUCAUCGAGUCUUUGAACGCACAUUGCGCCCCCUGGCAUUCCGGGGGGCAUGCCUGUCCGAGCGUCAUUGCUGCCCUUCAAGCCCGGCUUGUGUGUUGGGUCGUCGUCCCCCCCGGGGGACGGGCCCGAAAGGCAGCGGCGGCACCGCGUCCGGUCCUCGAGCGUAUGGGGCUUUGUCACCCGCUCGAUUAGGGCCGGCCGGGCGCCAGCCGGCGUCUCCAACCUUCUAUUUUACCAGGUUGACCUCGGAUCAGGUAAGGAUACCCGCUGAACUUAAGCAUAUCAAUAAGCGGAGGA